rnacentral:lncRNA from 1 species
AUAUAAAAAAAAAGGAAACCAUCACUACUGUACUCUUUUCUUUGUAUGUCUGAGUAUCGAUGUGUUCACAACUAUUUAAUUUAAUGUAAAUAUGUAUAAAGGUUUCAAUAAAAAACUUUUUAUAAAAAAAAGAAACUGUCGCCAUAAAAGGAACUUUUGUCCGUAUGUCGCAACAUUUUUGGGACUGUCGAGGCGUUAUCAACAAAACCAAAGAAGAACCAAAAAACUAAUACAUCAAUCGGUAGAACCAUCGCUGGCUCCGUUGAAAUUUAGUGAACGUUUCCUGAAUCACAUAACUGGUUCCUAAAUCAAGUGCCCGACGUUCGUUUCCAGCAAAAAAUAUUAAUCGACAGUCGUCCGACCAUCUCCUCGUUUCUUCAUACGUUCUCCCUAUGUGUCCAGCAAGACACCCUUUUGUGACAUCUCUACAUCGUGAACCGGAACUUUUACUUGGACUCUUACUUCAGGUAUUUCCACCUUUAACUGUUGGAAACUCUUUUGUAAAGGACUCUCUUAU